AGGCCAUAUCAUUUUGAAACACAGGUUCCUGUAAGAUCUCCGAAGUUAAUUAACGUUGAACCUGGUCUGUAUGUAGAUGAGUGACCGCUUGGGAAUAGCAGGCGCUGCAAGC